rnacentral:rRNA from 1 species
UACGAAGGGGGCGAGCGUUGUUCGGAUUUACUGGGCGUAAAGGGCGCGCAGGCGGCUCAUUUUGUCAGGCGUGAAAGCCCCGGGCUUAACCUGGGAACUGCGUUUGAUACGGAUGGGCUAGAGUUCGGGAGAGGAGAGUGGAAUUCCUGGUGUAGCGGUGAAAUGCGCAGAUAUCAGGAAGAACACCCGUGGCGAAAGCGGCUCUCUGGAACGGUACUGACGCUGAGACGCGAAAGCGUGGGGAGCGAACAGG